AUGAUGCUGGUGCUUGCACCGGUGGAUUAGUGGCGAACGGGUGAGUAACACGUGAGUAACCUGCCCCUGACUUCGGGAUAAGCCCGGGAAACUGGGUCUAAUACCGGAUAUGACUUCCUGCUGCAUGGCAGGGGGUGGAAAGAUUUAUCGGUUGGGGAUGGACUCGCGGCCUAUCAGCUUGUUGGUGAGGUAAUGGCUCACCAAGGCGACGACGGGUAGCCGGCCUGAGAGGGUGACCGGCCACACUGGGACUGAGACACGGCCCAGACUCCUACGGGAGGCAGCAGUGGGGAAUAUUGCACAAUGGGCGAAAGCCUGAUGCAGCGACGCCGCGUGAGGGAUGACGGCCUUCGGGUUGUAAACCUCUUUCAGUAGGGAAGAAGCCCCUUUUUGGGGUGACGGUACUUGCAGAAGAAGCGCCGGCUAACUACGUGCCAGCAGCCGCGGUAAUACGUAGGGCGCAAGCGUUAUCCGGAAUUAUUGGGCGUAAAGAGCUCGUAGGCGGUUUGUCGCGUCUGCCGUGAAAGUCCGAGGCUCAACCUCGGAUCUGCGGUGGGUACGGGCAGACUAGAGUGAUGUAGGGGAGACUGGAAUUCCUGGUGUAGCGGUGAAAUGCGCAGAUAUCAGGAGGAACACCGAUGGCGAAGGCAGGUCUCUGGGCAUUUACUGACGCUGAGGAGCGAAAGCAUGGGGAGCGAACAGGAUUAGAUACCCUGGUAGUCCAUGCCGUAAACGUUGGGCACUAGGUGUGGGGGACAUUCCACGUUUUCCGCGCCGUAGCUAACGCAUUAAGUGCCCCGCCUGGGGAGUACGGCCGCAAGGCUAAAACUCAAAGGAAUUGACGGGGGCCCGCACAAGCGGCGGAGCAUGCGGAUUAAUUCGAUGCAACGCGAAGAACCUUACCAAGGCUUGACAUGUUCCAGACCGGGCCAGAGAUGGUCUUUCCCCUUUUGGGGCUGGUUCACAGGUGGUGCAUGGUUGUCGUCAGCU
rnacentral:rRNA from 1 species